CAAGCACAAUAACUUCUCCAGCUUUGUUAGGCAGCUUAACACUUACGUAAGCAUUAUAAACUAUAAUUCUUCAAUUCUCCUUUGUCAUCAUCUUCUUCUUCUUCUUCAGUCUUGCUUUGGGGGAAAAAAAAUUCACGUGAUUCCUUUUUAAUCGGAGUUCAUUCCUGUAUUGGUAGCAGGUUUAUUUGUUAUUCUUCUUCUUGGGUGAGGGUGUUGUUUAAUUGGUUGUUUCUUUUAUAUUUAAUUUAAAUAUUUUUAUGCUUAAGGAAAGGUGACGAUGUCCUAUUGAAGGAAGAUGACUAUUUUAUUCACCAGCAAAGAAGAUUGUUCUCAAGAGGUUCUGGAAUGUUCAUGCAAGUGGAACUUUGAUAUGAAUCUCCUUUUUCUCCCUCUGCAAAAUGCUCAUUGGUUCCAAUUUUUAUUAUUUUAUUAUUUAUCAAUGUAGUUGGGGCACUUCUUUGAUUUAAUUUCGUUUUCCCAAUGGCUUUUUCUGCAUCUGGCCAUGUGGGGCCUUGCUGUAUUUGGAUUUGGUGCUAGAAGUAAAAGAUUCAGUAUACAGUCCUCUGUUUCCAAAUGCAAUUUGGUAAAAUUUAAUUGUUAGUGGAACCUGGUAAUUGAUAGUUUUAAUCCUGCAGGGAUUUAAAAAGAUAGACCCAGAUAGAUGGGAGUUUGCCAAUGAAGGGUUUCUAAGGGGCCAGAAGCAUCUCCUGAGAACCAUCAAGAGAAGAAAGACACCUUCUCAGCCUCUGCCUCAACAACAACCUUUGGAUGCUUGUGUUGAAGUUGGCAGGUUCGGAUUGGAUAGAGAAAUUGAUCGAUUGAAGCGCGACAAGCAAUUUCUAAUGAUGGAAUUAGUGAAGCUCAGGCAUCAACAGCAGAACACUAGAGCCUAUAUUCAGGCUAUCGAACAAAGGCUACAAGGUACAGAAAUAAAGCAGCAGCAAAUGAUGCAAUUCUUGGCCAGAGCGGUGCAGAAUCCAGCUUUUUUACAGCAACUAGCCCAGAAUAAGGAUAAGAGAAAAGAACUUGAAGAAGCAAUGACCAAAAAAAGAAGAAGGCCUAUUGAUCAAGGAACUAGUGGUGCUGAAUCAAGCUAUAGUGGUGAGAGUAGAAAUGCCAUCAAAGCUGAACCUCUAGAGCUUGGAGAUUAUGGGUUUGAAGUUUCAGAGCUGGAAGCACUUGCAUUGGAAAUGCAAGGAUAUGGUAGGGCGAGGAGAGGCCAAGAGGAAGGAGAAGAAGAUAUAGACCCACCAGAAAGUGGAGAUAGAGAACUUGAUGAGGGAUUUUGGGAUGAAUUAUUAAGUGAGAGUAAUAGAGGAGGUGAAGAUGAAGAUGUAAAUGUAUUGGCUGAGCGAUUGGGUUAUUUGGGUUCCAGUCCGAAGUAAAGAAAUUGAAGCCUUCUUUAUUGUUCAUCAUCAUCGUGGAUCAUUUCUUCAAUUAUCAUUUGGCAGACUUUUCAUUCCACGGUUGAUUUGUCAGUAACACCCUCGUAUUUUUGUACAAUUAGGUCCUUAAAAUACCAUUAGCCUAUAAUUUUUCAUCUGGAUUUCUUGGUAUUGACAGGAUAGGAGAAUAGCAAAGCAGUGUAUCCGUGGAAAAUAUUUGUAUUUCUGGUGUUUCUAACCCUUUAUUUUAAUC
rnacentral:misc_RNA from 1 species